rnacentral:rRNA from 1 species
UACAGAGGGGGCGAGCGUUGUUCGGAAUUACUGGGCGUAAAGGGCGCGUAGGCGGCCCGCUAAGUCGAACGUGAAAUCCCCAGGCUCAACCUGGGAACCGCGUCCGAUACUGGCAGGCUUGAAUCCGGGAGAGGGAUGUGGAAUUCCAGGUGUAGCGGUGAAAUGCGUAGAUAUCUGGAGGAACACCGGUGGCGAAGGCGGCAUCCUGGACCGGUAUUGACGCUGAGGCGCGAAAGCUAGGGGAGCAAACGGG